UACGGAGGAUGCAAGCGUUUAUCCGGAAUGAUUGGGCGUAAAGCGUCCGCAGGUGGCUGUGUAAGUCUGCUGUCAAAGAGCGAAGCUCAACUUCGUAAAGGCAGUGGAAACUACACGGCUAGAGUGCGUUCGGGGCAGAGGGAAUUCCUGGUGUAGCGGUGAAAUGCGUAGAGAUCAGGAAGAACACCGGUGGCGAAGGCGCUCUGCUAGGCCGCAACUGACACUGAGGGACGAAAGCUAGGGGAGCGAAUGGG
rnacentral:rRNA from 1 species